rnacentral:rRNA from 1 species
AAAUUGAAGAGUUUGAUCAUGGCUCAGAUUGAACGCUGGCGGCAGGCCUAACACAUGCAAGUCGAGCGGUAGCACAGAGAGCUUGCUCUCGGGUGACGAGCGGCGGACGGGUGAGUAAUGUCUGGGAAACUGCCUGAUGGAGGGGGAUAACUACUGGAAACGGUAGCUAAUACCGCAUAAUGUCGCAAGACCAAAGUGGGGGACCUUCGGGCCUCAUGCCAUCAGAUGUGCCCAGAUGGGAUUAGCUAGUAGGUGGGGUAACGGCUCACCUAGGCGACGAUCCCUAGCUGGUCUGAGAGGAUGACCAGCCACACUGGAACUGAGACACGGUCCAGACUCCUACGGGAGGCAGCAGUGGGGAAUAUUGCACAAUGGGCGCAAGCCUGAUGCAGCCAUGCCGCGUGUGUGAAGAAGGCCUUCGGGUUGUAAAGCACUUUCAGCGGGGAGGAAGGCGUUGAGGUUAAUAACCUCAUCGAUUGACGUUACCCGCAGAAGAAGCACCGGCUAACUCCGUGCCAGCAGCCGCGGUAAUACGGAGGGUGCAAGCGUUAAUCGGAAUUACUGGGCGUAAAGCGCACGCAGGCGGUCUGUCAAGUCGGAUGUGAAAUCCCCGGGCUCAACCUGGGAACUGCAUUCGAAACUGGCAGGCUAGAGUCUUGUAGAGGGGGGUAGAAUUCCAGGUGUAGCGGUGAAAUGCGUAGAGAUCUGGAGGAAUACCGGUGGCGAAGGCGGCCCCCUGGACAAAGACUGACGCUCAGGUGCGAAAGCGUGGGGAGCAAACAGGAUUAGAUACCCUGGUAGUCCACGCCGUAAACGAUGUCGAUUUGGAGGUUGUGCCCUUGAGGCGUGGCUUCCGGAGCUAACGCGUUAAAUCGACCGCCUGGGGAGUACGGCCGCAAGGUUAAAACUCAAAUGAAUUGACGGGGGCCCGCACAAGCGGUGGAGCAUGUGGUUUAAUUCGAUGCAACGCGAAGAACCUUACCUGGUCUUGACAUCCACAGAACUUUCCAGAGAUGGAUUGGUGCCUUCGGGAACUGUGAGACAGGUGCUGCAUGGCUGUCGUCAGCUCGUGUUGUGAAAUGUUGGGUUAAGUCCCGCAACGAGCGCAACCCUUAUCCUUUGUUGCCAGCGGUUCGGCCGGGAACUCAAAGGAGACUGCCAGUGAUAAACUGGAGGAAGGUGGGGAUGACGUCAAGUCAUCAUGGCCCUUACGACCAGGGCUACACACGUGCUACAAUGGCAUAUACAAAGAGAAGCGACCUCGCGAGAGCAAGCGGACCUCAUAAAGUAUGUCGUAGUCCGGAUUGGAGUCUGCAACUCGACUCCAUGAAGUCGGAAUCGCUAGUAAUCGUAGAUCAGAAUGCUACGGUGAAUACGUUCCCGGGCCUUGUACACACCGCCCGUCACACCAUGGGAGUGGGUUGCAAAAGAAGUAGGUAGCUUAACCUUCGGGAGGGCGCUUACCACUUUGUGAUUCAUGACUGGGGUGAAGUCGUAACAAGGUAACCGUAGGGGAACCUGCGGUUGGAUCACCUCCUUACCUUAAAGAA